UACGUAGGGGGGCGAGCGUUGUCCGGAUUCAUUGGGCGUAAAGAGCUCGUAGGCGGUUUGGCAAGUCAGGUGUGAAAUCUCCGGGCUCAACUCGGAGAGGCCACCUGAUACUGCUAUGACUUGAGUCCGGUAGGGGACCAUGGAAUUCCUGGUGUAGCGGUGAAAUGCGCAGAUAUCAGGAGGAACACCGGUGGCGAAGGCGGGUCUCUGGGCCGAUGACUGACGCUGAGGAGCGAAAGCGUGGGGAGCGAACAGG
rnacentral:rRNA from 1 species